GAGCUGAUUCAAUGCUUCUUUUCCUCUCUAUUAGAGAUUUUUAAACUUUUCACAGAUGUGAGCUUUGAAUACUUGUAAACUUAUGAUUUUUCACUUCAAAAGAGCAUUUAUAAUCAUCAUUUGCUCUUGAGAAUGUCUUAGUGUCGGUUUAGAGCCAUUGGAGAGUGUUUAAUGUGUAUUAAAUACAUCAAAAAUGGGCUGAAAACUAAUUGUUACGUGUGUUUGUCAGAAUGGGACGUCUCAUGGGGCACCCCACUGGUAAUGCGACGUCCCAUGGGAUGCCCCAAUUGGCCAGACAAAAAAUUCAGCUUUCUG
rnacentral:lncRNA from 1 species